GACGAACCGUGCGAACGUUGUUCGGAAUCACUGGGCUUAAAGGGCGCGUAGGCGGCUUGGCAAGUCAGGGGUGAAAGCUUUCGGCUCAACCGGAAAGUGCCCCUGAUACUGCCGAGCUCGAGGGAGGUAGGGGCGGACGGAACUUCCGGUGGAGCGGUGAAAUGCGUUGAUAUCGGAAGGAACGCCGGUGCGAAAGGCGGUCCGCUGGGCCUCCUCUGGACGGCUGAG
rnacentral:rRNA from 1 species